UUUGAGCUAUUGACUUUGUCUAUGUCUACUGACGAGGAGGCAAAGAAGAAAGCUCGGCUUGCCAGAUUUGCUCCAUUUUCAUAGAGUAUCCUUUGAUUCAAUAAGAAGCUAUAAGUCUUAUGUUCAAUCAAGCUAUUAUCCAUUUAACCAAUUGGACAAGCCGAGCUCUUAACCAAUAACCAUUUAGUUCCUCGUAUCCUGAACCUUUUUAGUUGAAGGAUGCGGCCAUUUCUUUUGUUUGAAAUGUAUAAUAUUGGACUCCAUUAGACGGAGGUGAGGUUUAAAAUGUCCAGAACUGUUCUCUCUUCAUCAAAAUUGAAGGGUCCACUAAAAUUAUUUAGACUAUCAUUAUCCUCGCUUUUCCAAUUCUCAAGCAAGCUCUUUUGAGUUCGAUCCAAGUAAAAUGGUAGGAAGGGGGAUGUACCUGUUGUUCAGUAAUCAAUCUAGAAUGUAUAAUUCCUGAUUCUGUUUUCGGGAAGUACACGAUUCUAUGGAAAGCACGACAGUGGCCUCAAAGAAGUUCGAAUUGAUUUUCAUUGGUGUCGCUGAGUUGCUUCUUUCUCCACAUUUGCACACUGAAAUCCUGAUGCAUAGUAUUACUAUUGUCAUCCAGGGCCUUUUUUUGAGUCGGGGAAUAAGAUGUGACGACAUGAGGAGGUUUGAAACCAUUCUUUCCUACAGAACAAAGUGUUUAUUUUUUUGUUUUUGUUGCUCUUAAGGAUUUGUCAGAGGGAAAAACUAAAAAUUUUGUUGAUUGACUGACACAAGGUGAUCGAUUGAAAAUCAGAGGCUUCCUUAAUUCUAAGAACGCAUGUAUAUCACCUGUUGCUUCUUCCUCUAUCCCCAUAGCAGUUACUAGCACAAGGUCUCUGCCCUCAUCAUUUUGCUGCUCUGGUUGUUAUACUUGAAAAGGUAUGAUACGGCAGGGCUCUUUGGUCGUGAUCGAGAAUGGCAGACAGAGCCCAUAAGUGUUUAGGAUUGCUUCAAGGACCUUGUGUCUGCUUACACUCGGCUAGGAAUUUUCAGACGAAGGGAGACCUCCUCUGAUUGACAAGGAACAAGGGGAGGGCCUACCAUUGAUCAAAUGAGGAUCUAAGAACACAACUACAACAGAAAUGUCAUCGUGAAAAUGCCUUCUCACACCUCUAUCUAUCUUUUUCAGUUUCCACCAAGUUGAACCAUAAAUUCAAGACAACUUUUGCAACGAAUAUGAAAGGAGAUAGUCAUCAAUUCAAUCAACAUGGUGGUUUAUGAGAAGAUGUAUUCUUACAUUUCGAGAAUAGCUG